rnacentral:lncRNA from 1 species
CCACCCAAUUGAUUCUAUGAAUCCACAAUUAUGCGUAUUCCUAAACCACAAACACAACAAAAAAAGAGAACUUCAGCCCAAUUUCCCUCAUAAUUAUCAAUGCAAAAAUACUCAAUAAGCGGCUGGGGAUUUAGCUCAGUGGUAGAGCGCUUACCUAGGAAGCGCAAGGCCCUGGGUUCGGUCCCCAGCUCCGAAAAAAAGAACCAAAAAAAAAAAAUACUCAAUAAAAUUCUCACAAACCAAAUCCAAGAACACAUCAAAACAAUAAUUCACUAUGGUCAAGUAGACUUCAUCACAGGGAUGCAGGGAUGAUUCCAUAUAUAGAAAUCCAUCAAUGUAAUCCAUUAAAUAAACAAAUUAAAAGAAAAAA